rnacentral:rRNA from 1 species
CGGAACGGGUGAGUAAUGCGUGACCAACCUGCCCCAUGCUCCAGAAUAGCUCUUGGAAACGGGUGGUAAUGCUGGAUGCUCCAACUUGACGCACGUCUUGUUGGGAAAGUGUUUAGUGGCAUGGGAUGGGGUCGCGUCCUAUCAGCUUGUAGGCGGGGUAAUGGCCCACCUAGGCUUCGACGGGUAGCCGGCCUGAGAGGGCGGACGGCCACAUUGGGACUGAGAUACGGCCCAGACUCCUACGGGAGGCAGCAGCA